AGUGCGUCGUGGCGGCCGGCGCAGUGCGUCGUGGCGGCCGGCGCAGUGCGUCGUCGCUGCUCCUCCCUUCCAGAGCCACACAGGAGGAGCAGAUGCUCUAGAUUACUUUCACUCUGACCCUGCACAUUUCCACCAGGAAUAUGAGGAGUGUCAGCUGUGACCCCUACACUAAGAAGAGAGGAUUCUUCCUCAAGCUAACAAAGGGCAUCUGGAAACGUAAAGCUAGAAGCAUGCUUAAAGGUAAAGACUGAACGCUUUCCCCCAGAUCAGGAACAAUACCUGGAUGCCCAUCUCGCCCCUCUAUUCAAUAUGGUGCUGGAGGCUCUACCCAGGGCAACUGGCCAAGAAAAAAAAUGAAUGGCACCCAUAUUGGAAAGGAAGAAGUAAAAAUUUUUCUCUUCAGUGAUGACAUUAUAUUAUACACAGAAGACUCUAAAGAAUACAGACACAAUAAAACCUGUUAACGCUAAUAAAUGAGUUCAGCAGGGUUGCAGGAUAUAAGAUCAAUAUGCUAAAACAGUUGUA